rnacentral:rRNA from 1 species
GCAUGGCUCUAGAUUUAAAAUUCCGGUGGUACGGGACGGGCACGCGCGACAUUAGGUAGUUGGCGGGGUAAGGGCCCACCAAGCCGACGAUGUCUAGGGGUUCUGAGAGGAAGGUCCCCCACACUGGAACUGAGACACGGUCCAGACUCCUACGGGAGGCAGCAGUGAGGAAUAUUGGUCAAUGGGCGAGAGCCUGAACCAGCCAAGUCGCGUGAGGGACGAAUGGUCUAUGGCCUGUAAACCUCUUUUGUCAAGGAAGAAUAAAUCGCACGGGUGCGAUCUUGCCAGUACUUGACGAAUAAGCAUCGGCUAACUCCGUGCCAGCAGCCGCGGUAAUACGGGGGAUGCGAGCGUUAUCCGGAUUUAUUGGGUUUAAAGGGCGCGUAGGCGGGACGUCAAGUCAGCGGUAAAAGACUGCAGCUAAACUGUAGCACGCCGUUGAAACUGGCGCCCUCGAGACGAGACGAGGGAGGCGGAACAAGUGAAGUAGCGGUGAAAUGCAUAGAUAUCACUUGGAACCCCGAUAGCGAAGGCAGCUUCCCAGGCUCGAUCUGACGCUGAUGCGCGAGAGCGUGGGUAGCGAACAGGAUUAGAUACCCUGGUAGUCCACGCCGUAAACGAUGCUCACUGGAUCUUGGCGAUACACAGCCAGGGUCA